GGGUCCUCGGCUGGAAAGUGGGAACGAGGUCCACACCCUCAGAGGGACUGGGGCAGGCCCCGGAGGAGGUGGCAUCGAGGGAGGGGUCUGCAGGAGGGUGGCCAAUGGGAAAGCAGGGACAAAAAUCCCAGAGGACAGGAGCGUGGGACGGGCUGGAGGCCAGCAGGCAGCCCCCUGGGUGGGCAGGGUUGGGGGAGGCGUGAGGAAGUCACCCGAAAUGAGGAGGCCCUAAUGCACCAGGGUCCUGGAGACCUGACUAGAAUGGGCUUGGAAGAGCCACCUCCCAGCUCAGUGUCCACUGUCACUGCAGAGCGGCCCCCGGACACCUCCUUGCCAGGCCCCAGCUCUGCAGCAGAGCCCUCCGUGGCUCAGGGCAGGGCUUCCCACCGGGUCCUGCAGCGUGAUUGCCAGCCGCUGGGACCGUCCUGGGCUUUGCAGGACAGUGAGCAGUGUCCUUGACCUGCCCACUAGACGCUGGUAGCAUCCCUGUCCCCAAAACGUCUCCAGGAAUGACAAAAUGUCCAACCAGCGGGUGCAAAACAGCCCUCAGUGGGGACUCACUGGCCUGCGCCUGCCUCCCUGGCCCCAGGCUUGGUGUCCUCCCGUCCUCUUGGGGCGGGGCUGGCCUCCUGCCCACUUCCGGUCCCCAGGGGCAGGUGGAGCCCGCCCUGGAUCACAUGGUCCCCAGCCGUGGGAUGGACCUCAGCCCCCGUGGGAGCUUGUUCCUCCAGGACGGUGGCCUCAGCACCACGGCGGCCCUCGUCCGUCACUGUGCGGAGGACACACGCGCCACGCGAGGACCCGACGUCAAUCUUGGUGAUGAUGAUAGAUAGCAGUGGUUUUCCGGGAGGUCAGCAGACCCUGGGCGGGGAGGGACAGGGAGUUGAACUGAGAGAUCAGCCUCUUGCUCUGCCGGGGACCAAGCUCUGUGUCUGUUAUUUUUAAUUUGUCACAAUUUCUCUCCUGCAGGCGGUGAUGCUGCCAAGAGUCG
rnacentral:lncRNA from 1 species